UAAACGACUCUCGGAAACGGAUAUUUCGGCUCUCGCAUCAAGUAAGAAAGUGCCGUAAUGGGAUACUUGUGGUGAAUUGCAGGAUCCCGUGAACCUUUGAGUGCUUGAAGCCCAGUAGCGCCCUAAGCCAUUGGGCCGAGGGCAUGUCUGCCUGGGCGUCAGGC
rnacentral:rRNA from 1 species